CCGCACACUUGCACUUCCAGCGUGGGAUAGGCUUUCCUGUGUGCUGUAGCUUAUCUCUCACGUCGAAAAAGAUCCCGUGGGUGCAAGGCCUCUCUCCUACGUAUGCGAUUGCUGGUACAUGUGCACAAGGAGGUUCAUAUAUGAAGCAUAUGUUGUCUGCCACUCUCUAAGGCCAAUUAGUCUUGUUUGGUUCUUAUGUGAUAUCCCAAGUGCUAAUUAAGGCAAAUGAGUGUUAGAUAUAGAUUCAGAAUAAUGAGUGUAUGAUAAAAUCUAUGUGGCG
rnacentral:lncRNA from 1 species